GACGAACGCUGGCGGCGUGCCUAAUACAUGCAAGUAGAACGCACAGUUUAUACCGUAGCUUGCUACACCAUAGACUGUGAGUUGCGAGCGGGUGAGUAACGCGUAGGUAACCUGCCUGGUAGCGGGGGGUAACUAUUGGAAACGAUAGCUAAUACCGCAUAAUAUUGAUUAUUGCAUGAUAAUUGAUUGAAAGAUGCUAUUGCAUCACUACCAGAUGGACCUGCGUUGUAUUAGCUAGUAGGUGAGGUAACGGCUCACCUAGGCGACGAUACAUAGCCGACCUGAGAGGGUGAUCGGCCACACUGGGACUGAGACACGGCCCAGACGCCUACGGGAGGCAGCAGUAGGGAAUCUUCGGCAAUGGACGAAAGUCUGACCGAGCAACGCCGCGUGAGUGAAGAAGGUUUUCGGAUCGUAAAGCUCUGUUGUAAGAGAAGAACGGGUGUGAGAGUGGAAAGUUCACACUGUGACGGUAUCUCACCAGAAAGGGACGGCUAACUACGUG
rnacentral:rRNA from 1 species